rnacentral:ncRNA from 2 species
AUAACUUAAAACCGAAAUACUUGUAUAAUAGUUGCGAUUGGGCGACGAGUUUCUACCUGGUUACCGUAAAUAACCGGACUAUGAGUAGUUUGUAUAAAGAAG